rnacentral:rRNA from 1 species
AGUGAACGCUGGCGGUAGGCCUAACACAUGCAAGUCGAACGGCAGCACAGGAGAGCUUGCUCUCUGGGUGGCGAGUGGCGGACGGGUGAGGAAUACAUCGGAAUCUACUCUGUCGUGGGGGAAAACGUAGGGAAACUUACGCUAAUACCGCAUACGACCUACGGGGGAAAGCAGGGGAACUUCGGGCCUUGCGCGAUUGAAUGAGCCGAUGUCGGAUUAGCUAGGUGGCGGGGUAAAGGCCCACCAAGGCGACGGUCCGCAGCUGGUCUGAAAGGAUGAUCAGCCACACUGGAACUGAGACACGGUCCAGACUCCUACGGGAGGCAGCAGUGGGGAAUAUUGGACAAUGGGCGCAAGCCUGAUCCAGCCAUACCGCGUGGGUGAAGAAGGCCUUCGGGUUGUAAAGCCCUUUUGUUGGGAAAGAAAUCCAGCUGGCUAAUACCCGGUUGGGAUGACGGUACCCAAAGAAUAAGCACCGGCUAACUUCGUGCCAGCCGCCGCCGUAA